AUUGAACGCUGGCGGCGUGCCUAACACAUGCAAGUCGAUCGGUAACGCGGGAGCAAUCCUGGCAACGAGAGGCGGACGGGUGAGCAAUGCUUGGGAAUCUGCCUAUUAGUGGGGGACAACCCGGGGAAACUCGGGCUAAUACCGCAUACGCUCUUCGGAGGAAAGCGGGGACCGUAAGGCCUCGCGCUAAUAGAUGAGCCCAAGUCGGAUUAGCUAGUUGGUAGGGUAACGGCCACCAAGGCGACAAUCCGUAGCUGGUCUGAGAGGACGACCAGCCACACCGGAACUGAGACACGGUCCGGACUCCUACGGGAGGCAGCAGUGGGGAAUAUUGGACAAUGGGGG
rnacentral:rRNA from 1 species